rnacentral:lncRNA from 1 species
UCACAGCUGUGUCUCGUGCUUCUUCUCGCUGGCCAGGAACUCUCAUCUCCUCCGGAAGCUCCUGCUCACCACCACUCGGGGGGCACAAAGGAUACCGAGGUCAAAGAGACCAAGAAGACAGAAUAAUAACCAUACUUCUAAUUACUUGACUUCUACUAACUGGCCUUCCCCUAGAAAGCAACUUGGGGGGCCGGGGAUUUAGCUCAGUGGUUUCGCUGCCUGCUGCACAAGUGCAAGGACCCAAGUUCGAUCUCCAGUACCAAAAAAAAAGACAGCAACUCUGUCAGCAAGAGAAUGGUCAUAUGGAAGA